rnacentral:lncRNA from 1 species
CCUCCCGAGUAGCUGGGAUUACAGGCGCACAACACCAUGCCUGGCUAAUUUUUGUGUUUUUUUAGUAGAGACGGGGUUUCACCAUGUUGGCCAGGCUGGUCUCAAACUCCUGACCUUCUGAUCCGCCUGCCUCAGCCUCCCAAAGUGCUGGGAUUACAGGCAUGAGCCACCACGCCCGGCCUGAGAUCCAAUUUUUUUAAUAUUAAAUAAAGAGAAAGCCAAAACAAUUUUUAAAAAGCAAAAUAGGACUCACGACUACCUGAUUUUAUGGUUUACUAUAAACUACAGUAAUCACCAUAGUGUGGUGUUGGCAUAAAGACAGAAAUAUAAAUUAAUGGGACAGAAUGGAAAGCCCAGAAACAGACUCACACAUAUAUGAACAGCUGAUUUUCAAUAAAAAUCAAAUAAGCCAGGCAAGGUGGCAUUCACCUAUAGUCCUAGCUACUUGAAAGACUUAGUUGGGAGGACGGCUUUGAGCAUGGGUGUUUGAGACCAGCCUGGGCAAUAUGGUGAGAUCUCGUCUCAAAAUAAAUAAAUAAAUAAUAAAGAAAUGUAGUGGAAAAAGGAUAGUCUUAUUAACAAAUGGUACUGAAAAAAUUGGAUAUAUAAUAUUUAAGCAAUAACAAAACCCACAACUUUGUGUGUUCCACACAACAUACAAAACAUCAACUCAAAAUGAAUCACAGACAUACUUAAAAGGUCAAGGCUGCAGUGAGCCAUGAUUGUGCCACUGCACUCCAACCUGGGAAAGGAGGAUCACUCAGCAAUAAAAGGAAAUGAACUACUGAUAAAUGCAAAAUCAUGGAUAAUUACAAAAGCAUCAUGCUAAGCAAACGGCAAACUCAAAGGGCAACAUACAAUAUGAUUCCAUUUAUAUGACAUUAUGGGAAAAAUAAAACUAUAGGAACAAAUCAGUGAUUGCCAAGGGCUUGGUAUAGGGGAAAGGAGCAAAAGAGAAUUUACUUGAUAAGAUGGAAAUAUUUUAUAUCUUAAGUACGCUGAUAGUUACAACAACUGCAUAAUCUGUCAAAACUCAUCAUGCUGUACACCUAGAGAAGGUGAAUUUAACUUGGGUAAACAUGAUGUAAAUUUCUUAAUGGGAAAAACCUAGCAAGUAACAGCAAGAGAGGGGAUAUUUUUUGCUUUUGCAAUUUUACUUUAAAAACAUUGGAAAUACAACAUAUUUCUCUUAGUGUUUUUACAAGUCGUGUUCUUGUGCGUUAAGAAAGAUAGUGUAUCAUGAUACCUAAAAACAUAUUUCCUUUCGAAAGAUAAGGGAAUAGACAACCCAGUCACUGUGGCUUGAGUCUGUAAUCCCAGCUACUUGGGAGGCUGAGGCAGGAAGAUUGCCUUGAUCCCAGGAGUUCGAUACCAGCCUGGAGCAAUAUAGCAAGACUUCACUUCUAAUUUAAAAAAUAAUAAUGAAGAAGGUUCAUAAGAAAGGUAAAGCAAUAGACAAAUCAGAAUGUUUUAUAUUUUCCUAUUAUAUACCACAUCUCUGCAUAUCUCUUCGCAAAGUAUCAAUUAUAUUUCCUAAGUAGCCAUAUAGUUACAGAAACCAGUUUUUCAUUUAAGCAUUACUGUAUUAUUUAUAACAGUGGAAUUAACCUCUAUAUUAAUUAUUCAGGUAAAUGAAAGAGAUAUUAAAGCCCCAUUACUUGGAGCAUUUCCCUGCCAUUUUAAUUCCUAGAGAUGAGGCUUAUGUUUUUCUAUAUUUCUCAAGUACCUCCGGUGAUUUUUAUCAGUCAAGUUUAAAAACUGGAAGUUAGUAAACAGACUCAAGUAAUCCAUGAGAUAGUAAGGCAUACGAUAAUUUCCAAUACUAACAAAUCAGGUUAACAACGGUAAGACAAAAAGUUUGGUAAUGUUGGCCAUUUAUAGGGCAUAGCAUUUCCGGGAAGGACAUUAAAAAAAAUGAAAAUAUAAUUGAUACAAGGCAUUGUUUUAAGUACUGAGAAUAUAGCAGUGAACAAAAUAAAGUCCCUGCCCUAAUGGAACUUAUAUUCUAGUGGGGAAGCAGUCAAUGGCAAAUGAACCAAAUAUAUAAGCUGUGGUAAUGCUAGAAGAAAAUGCAAGAUAAGGGAUUUUUAAAAAUGAUGGGGCAGGGUACUAAUUUCAAGACUUGAAAUGACAUUUGAGCUGAAAGAAACCUGAAUUGAGGAAACGAGUUUUGUACAAGUCACAAAUAAGCUUUUUUUUUUUUUUUUUUUUUUU